rnacentral:tRNA from 1 species
GGUGGCUCAGUGUUAGAGUACUUGCCUUGCAUGCAUGAGGCCCUGGGUUCGAUUCCUCAGCACCA